UGAUCCUUGAUCUUCAAACAGAGUCACACCCCAAGUUAAUCCCUGGCUGUUUAAGUCUUAAUUUCAGUUUAAAUCUUCAAAGUUACUUCCUUAAGGAGCUGAUCAAAGUUCACCUUUCAUCUAUAGAUUGGAGACGUGGCAAUCAUUCUUACCUGACAACAGGUAAAAUCCAGCUCUAAUUCUAAAACAGCAUAUUUUGUGGUGUUGAGCUGGAUCUCUGCUUAUCUUAAAACUUUCAUUGACAUUGAAGCUCCAUUUGCACCUAAUUGCCUAUGUCACCAACACAGAGCUGUCAUAUAGCAGAUAAGAUUUGACCUUCAGGCAGCAAAGUGAGUUUUAGGCAAAGAGAUACCACAUUUAAACUUCAGGAUCUGAUUCUUCUGUUCAUUUUCCUUCCCUUCUGCCACUGGAAAUUUCUCUGGCAAGAAGAAAAAUACCUGUCCGAUAUCAGUGCUCAUCUUUGCUGACUAAGGCAGGUCAGCUGCAGGAUCAUCCCACCCCUUGGACUGCAGGGAUGGAGCAGAAGAGAUGGGUCCUGUUGGCUCUGGCACUUCUUCUGGCUAUCCCUUUCUCAGGAAGGAGAGUGGACUCCCUGGAAACUGUUUGGCUGAAGAACCACCAGCACCUCUACCAAAAAAUUCAGACUCUGCAGGAAGCUUUCCAGAAUGAGCAGGAGUCCACACGGUGUGAUAUUCAGCUCCUCAAAACAGACCUGGAGAAUAUAUUAGGAUUGAGAGUAGAGGCAAAUACUACAAAAUCUUUGGAAUCCAUGUGGAAGAAGGAUGUCCAUGAAGUGUCCCAACAAGUUCAAACUCUGCAGAAAGCUUUUCAAAACACCCACCUGUACACACUGCGAGACCUUCAGAUUAUGAGAACAGACCUGAAGGAUGAACUAGGAAGGACAGUGGAGGCAAAUGUCACAGGGAAUAUAGCAUUCAUGUGGCAGAAGGACCUCCUGCAUCUCUCCCAACAAAUUCAAACUCUGAAGCAAACUUUCCAGAACAUGAAGCUUGCUAUACAGCGUGACUUUCAAAUAAUCAGAAGAGAGCUGGAGAACAAACUAGGAGAGACAAUGGAGGCAAAAACAAGCACCUUAGAAGCCAGGCUGGAGAAAGACCACCAUGAAGCCUCCCAACAAAUUCAAACUCUGCAGGAAAAUUUCCAGAAGAAAUAUGAGGCCACACAGCGUGACUUUCAGAGGAUCAGAACAGAGUUGGAGCAUGACCUAGGUAAACUAGGCUAUUCCCCAGCAAGCUUUCAUCUCUCUAAAGAAAAAAGCUGUUCUACAGGCAA
rnacentral:lncRNA from 1 species